UACGGAGGGUGCAAGCGUUGUUCGGAUUUACUGGGCGUAAAGCGCGCGCAGGUGUGUGAACAAGUCGGAAGUGAAAUCUUGAGGCUCAACCUCGAGGCUGCUCCCGAAACUGUUCGCCUAGGGACUGGUAGAGGCUGGUAGAAUUCCCGGUGUAGCGGUGGAAUGCGUAGAGAUCGGGAAGAAUACCUGUGGCGAAGGCGGCCAGCUGGGCCAGAUCCGACACUGAGGCGCGAAAGCGUGGGGAGCAAACAGG
rnacentral:rRNA from 1 species